rnacentral:lncRNA from 1 species
GUAUAACACACCUGUGUUUGCUGUGUUUGAAUUGUGGCUGAGUGGGCUAGCCAGGUGUUGAGGCAACUCAACCCACUGACCCCCUGUGAACAGGGUGGGGCUAGGAGAGAGGUCACAGCUGAGCUGAUGACCCGGGCUAACUGCACUGCCUAAUGCCAUGCUCAGCGAGGAACUGAGAGAAGUAGGGGCUUUGGGAGAUGAGUUAUCUUCAACUAGGAGCUGCCUGGGCACCAAUUAACCCACUGGAGGCAAUGAGUAAGUGCUUUUGCAUUGUUUUAUUUUCUUCCUUUCUCUCACUUCUCCUUUACUUAUGAACCAAUUUUUAUCUCAUCCCAUAUUUUUUCUUGUUUUUACUUCUCCUCUUUGCCUGUCCCACUGUAUGGCUAAGCUGAAGGGAGCAGUCACCUGUGUGGUGCUUAGCUGCCUGCCAGAGUUCACCCACAGCAGAUGUACUGGCAACUUUCUGAUGGCAGUACAACUUCAGUGAUAGCGGGAACAAUUUUUCUGCAGAGAAAGUAGCAUCUCAGAGUUGUUCUGAAUUCCUUUAAUGCUCAGGGAGGAAAAAAAAAAAAGUAUCAAUUUUUGCUAAAGACUCAUGAUUGCCUAUCUUUUGAUAUCAUGCCUACAUGCAGGGGAAAAAAAUAAUAGGAAUGGAAAACACUGAAGUUGGUGCACUCUUGUGGCUUAAGAGGUGGCGUUUUUUUUUCUUGCCCCAGUGCUGGGAUACAAAGAACCCUUCACUUCUCUGUAGGAAUAUUUGUACCUCAGUUUUUGUAAAAGAAUAUGAGUUUGUUUGUUUGAUUUAACAGUUAUGUACAUUGAAGGCUGAAGCACUUCCUCAGCAUUGCGUCUUAGAUAUAGAAAAAAUUCCUUUUCAAUUUUGCACAUUUGAAUUUCAGAUUUGAUUAAGAAGAAAUAGGCGAUAUUUUCAGGAAGGGUCCCACAAGUGUGCUUGGGGGCUCCAAAGAAUUUCUGUUUUCUAUACUUCCGUACUGUAACUUAUGUUUUUCCCUCACCUAUUUUCAGCAUUUGAAACUUGGACAGUUGGCAGUUUGCAGUGCUGUCUGAUGGAAUAGAUACUACCAUGCUGUUACGAGGUGUUAUAGUUCUAUUACUUGAUAGCGGCAGUUUGGUUUUCUUAAAUUACUGGUUGUGUACUUCACCUGAGUUUUAAAAAGGUCAGAUACCAAGUUUAUUCUAUGAAAGGAUCGGAACAGUAUUUGAAGGCAUAUGCACUUGAUUGGUUGCACAGAAUCCUCGCCAUGAAAUCAGAGGAUAAAUGCAUGUCAAAAUGCGAAGGUGUAAAAAUACUGAAAUGAGUUCUUUGUUUUCUGUUCACCAAGAGCAAAAGGUGACAUUUUCUUUUUCUGACCUUUGGGGGUGUGGUUUUUUUUCCACAAAAUGAUUGAAUAUGAUUUUAUAUUAUCACUUGCUGAUAAAACUCCAUUUUUAUAUGCUUAAGUUUCAAUCUGAUCUAUUUCUUUGUCUUUUAAAUGAGAAACAUGCCAAAUAGGAUUGUUUUGGUGCGAAGAUUUCCAUUUAGUUAGGAUGGGGAAAGAGAGUGGGAUAUUUUUAAAUACAGCGUCUUGGAGAUGCCUGCAUCAAGAAUAGAAAACACAUUUUAAAUAUUUUGACAUAGGAGGUCAGACAGAAAGUGUUUCAUUUUAUUGCUUUUAUGUUUCACGUUUAUUUUAUAUGGUCUGUCCCACUUUAAAACUUCUGUAAACAAUAAUUGUUUGUUCUUAACAAUUUGUUAAAUUUUAAAAAUUUGUUCUUAAAACUAGCCACUAUGACAUUUAUUUCUAAUACCAAGAGAAUGCUAUGACAUUGCCAGCUGUGCUUCUUUUUAGUGUAGAAGGCCCCAAACUAUUCAUGAUACUUGUUCUGAAGAUAAAUUAGUGGCUUCUAAAUAAUGCAGUGAACCCUAAUUCUCUUUGAUUAGUAGUGAGUUAGAUGAUAGCGACCCAUUGAAAUUGGUCAUCAGCAUAAAUAAUGAGUGAAUGAACUGAUAAAAUGCAAAGUCACUGGCCAUCAUAAAUCAAAUGAAAUCCACUUUCUCUGGAAGUCACUGAAAUUAGAAGUCCAUGCUCCUAUUAAUUAUUUUGCCUUCUGAAGACGACAGUGUUAUAAAUCAGCCUUGAAAGGCACUUCACUUAGGAAGCUGAAAGAGUAAGACUGCCUGCAAAUUGUUUUGUAUACGCACCUAAUUGUUUCUUAAGUAACCCACCUUUUGUAGUAUGACUGCUGAAAAGUAGAAAGUGCACGCAAAAGUGUAGAUUAAGGAAAGCAACAGAUACUGCUGUAAGAAAAUUAUUUGAUCAGAAUAAUAGCCAUAGCUACUGCAUUGGUCAAUCUGAAGCCGAACCAACUGUUCUUGUUAGGCAGGGUUCCUCCAGUCCAUUUAGAACUGAGGUGAUUCUCAUUUAUUAGCCAGAUAUAAUUACAUUGCAGCAGGAAACUUGUUAAUAAUAAAAAAGUCCGGGGGAAUGGAAAACAAUCAUGCAGACUAGGUUAAAGUUGCACUGUGCAUUUUGUUUAAACAGCAUACUGUAAGAAUUUUCAAUGUCAGGUCAAAAGUUUUUUGCAGAAAAUAUUUUACUUCUAAUUCAUAGAUGAGUUUCGUAGUUUUUAUCUGUCUAUGCCUCUUUCUGUAUGUGUGUAUAAUUAUAUAAGAAUACGUGUAUACAUGAAGACAUUUUUUUAAAGGAGUCUUUGCUCUCUCUGUAAUUGCAAAAAUUCUUGUAAUGUAUUUUAUUCUUCAGGCUUUUUUUUUCAGUUUUUUCUUCCUUGUGCUAGAGCUUCCGUAUAUAUAUCAUUUGAUUAUGCCAAAAAUGUGUCUUCAUUCAUACUGUUAGUCAUUUAAUGAAAUGCAAGUAGACCUGCUGGAAAUCAGAGAAAAGGUGAAUAGUCUCAGAAUUUUAAUAAGAGAAUACAGAACAAUAGGAUUACUGUCUAAGUUGUUAGUUUAUAGUUCCAGUUUUUCAUGUCUUCCCUAAUCUGAACUGUAGAUGAUUGCUGACAUCAUACAGAAAACACCUUGUAAUAGGUAGGUGUGAGAAACUUAAAGGAAAAGGUUAAUAAACCCACAUUCUAUAAAGAAAAAAUAGGGAGAAAAGCAUGUGUGUAUUCAAGAAAAUACGUGUAAAAAUGUAGUAGAUUAAAAGGUUAGAUUUGAUACUAAGCUCUUACCUAAUGUAAGGUCAUCUGAUUUUAUGUCAGUACAUCAUUUGUGUACUAGACAACCAAUUAUGAAGAGUAAGAUAUAUGAAUAUGUAUUCUUCAGGAAUUCCAUUUAUUUGCUUAAAAGAUGUGGCUCUGGGUUGUUUUCAUAGAAAUCUUCUGCAUGAAGAUCACAGAAUAUGUACUAUGCCAGUAUCAUUGUCCGAAUGAGACUAGACUUCUUGUAGACUGGAUGGGAUUGCCUGAUAGGGAGGACUGUCCUAUGAAUUUCCGAACGCUUAUUUAACAUAAGAUCAAAAUGUGUUUCGGGGUUUAUUCGUAAUACGGUAACACUUUCAUUUCUGAAGCCAUGUAACUUGUACUCCUGUUAAGACCUGCACAUUCAAUGCCAUUCUUACUUUAUGCACAGUCAAAAUGAGAGGUUCUGUAUUUCCACUCCCUUAAACACACAGGAUUUUUUUUUUUUUUUUUUAGUGUAUAUUGUUUGGAGUGUUUGGUAAUUGAUAUUUAAUAGGCAAAAAUAAGUGUAUUUUGCUUUAAGUAGUCCAUUUCUCUGAUGCCAAGAUUAAAUAUAGCAAGAAUAAUGUGCUGUUUAAGUGGUAAUUUUGGUCAUCAGUGUAGUACAAGAACUGUUUUCAAAUAGAGAGUUCAUCAGAUUUUUCACUUUAUACUGUGUGCUAAUCCCUUCGGUGGAUAGAGUGGUGAAGAGGUCAGGCCAUUUGAGGUAUUAGAGGUGUGGGGUGCAACAGAACAGCAUCAAUACCCUCCAAAUUGCAGGAGAUUAAAACACAGCUACAGCUGUUGGAAUCAGCAAUGCUAUUAAAUUAUGGACAUAAAGUAAAUAACACAAAUAUUUCCAGAAGUUUUGAGCUAUGUGAGCUGAGGAGGUCAUGAAAAGACUAUGCCUUUUUUUUUUUCUUUUGUUAAGAAUAUGAAGGAAAGCAAACAUAAUGAAGCCACCAGAUUUUUCAAAAGACUUCUGUCUCCUGUGGAAAUUAGAAACAGUUUUCACUAUUUGAAGUUAAAAUAGAUUGAGUGAAAUAUGGAGGAAUGAUGUUUUUAGUGGAUAUAAUAAAAACUUGUUCACUUUCUGACACAGAAUAACUAUUUUUAAUGGUUUUGAAUGCAAUAGUUGCUUAAGUACAUUGUGCAUCGCUGAAUGAAAGGAUAGUUUUAGAAGCUGGAUCAGUUAAAAUUCAUGUUUGUGAAUUUGUUGGCGAACUGUGCUAGUGGGUUUUAGCUUUCACUUUUAUCAUCUAAUAUGUUCCUAGGAUGAUUAUUUAUAAUCUAGUGAUGAUGAGAGGAUGUUAAAACAUGUAAAUUUCUUUUUUUGAGAAAGCACAAGGAACUGUACAUAGGCAGCUACGGCGGUAAUUGAUUUGGUUAUUUUAGAAAUAAACUUACAUUGCAUUAGAUUUGCUUGUACUAAGGUAUUUGAUUUGUGUGUCAGUACUAAUUAGCAAUGGGUGAAUGGAGUCCAGUAGUUACUGCUGAAAAUGUUGAUCCUAAGGUAGGUAGGUAUCCCAUUUAUGUAUUCUCAGAACUGGUCUGGUGUCAAUGUUUCUUAUUUUUGAUUGUCAGUGUUGUUAGUUUUGAAUGCAUUGGCCUGCUGUGAAGGACAUUUUUCUUUAUUUAGGUGUACUUUAGAUGAACUUACAUUCCUGUUUUACAGACUUGUAGAUAAAUUAACAGUCAAAAGAAGUGAAGUUGUCUCUUUACUGAGAAAGCAUUAGUCCUCAUACUGCUUAAAAAGGUACCUCAUUUUAAUUGCAUUGAUCAUUUAGUGAGUGAGACAUAUUACUUAAUAGAGGGUGCUUCUGAAAAGUCUCUGUUGCUUCUGUCAUUUCCACUUAGGAAAGAGAUGAUCCUUGGAAGUAAAUUACUGUCUUAUGCUUUCAUACAAGAUGAUGAAUUUGGUUCUCUUACUAACUUCAAGUACAGUUACUUAAUCUAUGCAGUGGUUUUCAUUGCACGGCAAAUUUGAUAAAUGUUUAAGUGGUUCCAUUUCGUUCUCUGAGAGAAAGACAAUAUAAAGAACAUCUAGAAGAUGGCAAAGACCUACACAGCUCUUCAGGUCAAGAAGAGUAAAUGUUGAUUGAGAGAGGAAAAUGUAAUUUUUUUUUCUCACUAUAGGAGUAAGCUGAAGUGAAUAAUUAAGUUCCAAACUAUAGUAGUAAGCUUUCACCAUAACACUUCACAGAAAAUACUGACAGGUAAAUAAAGCAGAAUCUACUGAAACAUUUUCAGUUGUUGCAUUGAAAAGGUAACGCCUUUCUCAUGGCAACCUGAGCCACUAAUUGUUAACAAUAGUAAUCCUCUUUAUGUGGCAGUGGUAAGUGACUCCAGACCACCAGGUAGUUGGAAAAAAAAAAAGCUCACGUUAUGGCAGAAAAGCCUAUAGGGGUAAUGAAGCAGGCAGUCUUUUUUUUUUUUUUUUUGGUUAAUGUUGAAUUCUGACCAUGAUAACUAAUCUCUAGUUUAGAUUAAAUGUCUACUUUGACUUUUUCAGUGUGUCUGUAAUAUGGAAGUGAGGUCUUCCCUGCUCAGCUUUUUGGCGUGCCUAGUUUUAAGUGUAUAGAUACUUUUGUUUAUUUACCCAGGAUACAGUUUGCU